UACGAAGGGGGCUAGCGUUGUUCGGAAUUACUGGGCGUAAAGCGCGCGCAGGCGGUUCUCCAAGUCAGUGGUGAAAGCCCGGAGCUCAACUCCGGAAUUGCCAUUGAAACUGUUGAGCUCGAGGACGAGAGAGGUGAGUGGAAUUCCCAGUGUAGAGGUGAAAUUCGUAGAUAUUGGGAAGAACACCGGUGGCGAAGGCGACUCACUGGCUCGUUUCUGACGCUCAGGCGCGACAGCGUGGGGAUCAAACAGG
rnacentral:rRNA from 1 species